rnacentral:rRNA from 1 species
GAUGAACGCUGGCGGCGUGCCUAAUACAUGCAAGUCGAGCGAACAGACGAGGAGCUUGCUCCUCUGACGUUAGCGGCGGACGGGUGAGUAACACGUGGAUAACCUACCUAUAAGACUGGGAUAACUUCGGGAAACCGGAGCUAAUACCGGAUAAUAUAUUGAACCGCAUGGUUCAAUAGUGAAAGACGGUUUUCCUGUACCUAAUAGUGGAAUCCGCGCCGCAUUAGCUAGUUGGUAAGGUAACGGCUUACCAAGGCAACGAUGCGUAGCCGACCUGAGAGGGUGAUCGGCCACACUGGAACUGAGACACGGUCCAGACUCCUACGGGAGGCAGCAGUAGGGAAUCUUCCGCAAUGGGCGAAAGCUUGACGGAGCAACGCCGCGUGAGUGAUGAAGGUCUUCGGAUCGUAAAACUCUGUUAUUAGGGAAGAACAAAUGUGUAAGUAACUAUGCACGUCUUGACGGUACCUAAUCAGAAAGCCACGGCUAACUACGUG